AUUGAACGCUGGCGGCAGGCCUAACACAUGCAAGUCGAGCGAGCGGCGGACGGGUGAGUAAUGUCUGGGAAACUGCCUGAUGGAGGGGGAUAACUACUGGAAACGGUAGCUAAUACCGCAUACCAUCAGAUGUGCCCAGAUGGGAUUAGCUAGUAGGUGGGGUAACGGCUCACCUAGGCGACGAUCCCUAGCUGGUCUGAGAGGAUGACCAGCCGAACGGGAGCUGAGGCACGGUCCAGACUCCUACGGGAGGAAGCAGUGGGGAAUAUUGCAAAAUGGGCGAAAGCCUGAUGCAGCAAUGCCGGGUGUGUGAAGAAGGCCUUCGGGUUGUAAAGCACUUUCAGCGGGGAGGCGUUACCCGCAGAAGAAGCACCGGCUAACUCCGUGCCAGCCGACGCGGUAAUUC
rnacentral:rRNA from 1 species